rnacentral:lncRNA from 1 species
GGGCAAAUCCAAAAAGGCCAACAGUAGUUUUAAUAUUCAAAAUUUUUCAUUCCAAAUUAUGAAAAAUAUUUGAAUUCUAAAUUCUUAAAAUUUUAAUCUAUUUAUCUGUGUUAUUGGUGAUUCAAUUUUUAAGUAAUUUUCAUUUUCAUCAUAAAAAAUACUUAUAAUUUCAUGACUUAAUUUUAAAAUGUUUGUCACUUAAGCAUUAAAUUAUUAACGUUAUCUGAUUGUCACCAAAUCAUGUUCACAUCAUGUUUUCACUUUUAUUUUGGCCACCUAUUUUUUAAGUGACUUUAAUUUUGGUCACCAAAAAUAAUUGUUAUAGCCCAAAAUUGCCUGGCCCAAGACCCACAAGCAGAUAAACUAAAAAAUAAAGUCCAUUUACAAACCUAUACAACUACCCAAUACCCAAACAAGCCCAAAAUAAAAAAACAACCCAAGGGCCAACAAAACUAAGGAAAAACAAAAGCCCUAGCAGCCAACCUUCAGCCGCUGCAGCCCAGGGCAGUCUCCAGGCACCGCACGUCGCGCGCCUCCUCCGCGUCGUGCGCUGCUCCACCACGCCACAUCAGCGAUACACUCACGCACGUACCUGCAAACGUGCAAAAAAAAAUAAGUUGUAAAAUCGGCUAUAAAAGCCUUUGAAAAUAUAUUGUAAAGGGGUUUUUUUUUUUACGAAUACGAACACAAGAAAUACACACAAAAGCAGUCAAUAGCAAUAAAUAUCAGAUUUGGCAAUCAAAAGGUUGAUUAUUGCUCUUUCUCUUUUCGGAUUCUUGUUUUUUCCUUUUUUUUUUGUUCUUUUUUACAGAUUGAUUUUAAAUAAAAAACGAAGGAAAAGAGGCUUACCUGGGUUUACCCCGUGGUUCGGCGUCGGAGGCAGAGGCGCAGAAGCGCCGAUGACCCUCGUGCGCGGCCUCCCAAAGCAGGGUCAAAACCCUUGAAGCAAAUGGGGUUUCUUUUUUUAAAAUGGCAGAAUGCCAUUCAAUUGAUUUUCAUUUUGGUUUAAAAUGCCAAACAAAACAGCACCGUUUGGUGCUGGGCCCAUGCAUUUUGGCUCAAAAUGGGGUAUUUUCACAAUCGGUCCUCCCCUUCGUGCUAGUGUUCAAUCGAGCCGUGUUUUUUUAAAAUUAUUUUAAAUUGUCCCUGGAAUUUACGCGCCGUUGCAAAUCAGUCCGCGCUGAAACAUUUCUUUUUGGGAUUUGGUUU